UGCAAAAUGUUAUAUUAAAUUAUGUUACUAUAUUAGAGAAUGGUACAAACUGGAAUCCGCUAAGGAGUGUGUAACAACUCACCUGCCGAAGCAACUAGCCCUAAAAAUGGAUGGCGCUCCAGCGU
rnacentral:rRNA from 1 species